GACGAACGCUGGCGGCGUGCUUAACACAUGCAAGUCGAACGGAAAGGCCCUGCUUUCGUGGGGUGCUCGAGUGGCGAACGGGUGAGUAACACGUGAGUAACCUGCCCUUGACUUUGGGAUAACUUCAGGAAACUGGGGCUAAUACCGGAUAGGAGCUCCUGCUGCAUGGUGGGGGUUGGAAAGUUUCGGCGGUUGGGGAUGGACUCGCGGCUUAUCAGCUUGUUGGUGGGGUAGUGGCUUACCAAGGCUUUGACGGGUAGCCGGCCUGAGAGGGUGACCGGCCUCAGUGGUACUGCGAUACGCCCCAGUCUGCUACGGGAGGCAAUAGUGGGGAAUAUUGCCCAAUGGUCGGAAGCCUGAUGCAGCAACGCCGCGUGCGGGAAGACGGCCUUCGGGUUGUAAACCGCUUUCGCCUGUGACGAAGCGUGAGUGACGGUAAUGAGUAAAGAAGCACCGGCUAACUACGUG
rnacentral:rRNA from 1 species